UCUCUUUUCUGUUGUUUUUGUACUUGAGUUGGUUGUUUGUAAACGAGAAAACCAGUGUUAUUUUGUGUGUUCUUAUUUUAAACAAAUGCUUGAAAACUUUAAAUUAUCUAAAAGUAAUUUUUUGAUAAUGUUUUUUAUAAAAUAAAUUCAUUUAUCAAACUUUAAAUUUCAAGAAGAAAGUUUAUUAAUAGUUUCGGGAAAUGUGAUUGUGCGUUUUAGGUUUAAAUUGAGGUUAAACUUAGGGUUUGUUCAUUUUAGACAAAUCUUUUCUAAGAAAGCACCAAAACAUCCAGGUAACAAAAAAAAAUUCAUACCUUAAAAAUAGGUAAUUCGAAUGUCAACAUGAGUGAUAAAGAAGACGAUGUUGAUAAUUCUAUUAAAAGUGAAGAGACUGAACACCACUUACCCAUAUCAUCAUCAAGCACCAUCCUUACAACAUCUUCUAGUGUUGGUUCAAAUCAUUGUAAUUUUGUUGAAAGAGUGACACCAAAGGUUUUGUUUAUUGGUAGUAGUUUGAAAGUAGGAUCUAAUAAGCUUAUUCAAAAUGAUUUACCAGUCUUUAUGCGACAAGAAUUGGGCAUGGUUCCACCUCAUAGCUCGUUAAAACAAGAUCUACAAUAUGAGCAUAUUGGUCUGGAUAAAUUCAGAAAGUAUUUAGAGUUAAAUAGGACUUAUCCUGAAAUGAGAUUGGAUGAGCGUGUUUCAAAACACAUGUUAGAACAAGAUAGAAAGUCAAGUGUUCCAGUUGUGAUAGGAUCUGUUGAGAAUGAUUUGAAAAGAAUGACUUUAAGACCUCCAGUACUGGGACACGCAUCGUCUUCUUCUAAUGAUAGUGGUUCUGCAAUAUCUGGUUCAUCAGGAAAUGAAAGUGAAGAUGUUCCGGUUUCAGCGGUUGGAACUGAUAAUGAAUUUGUAUGCACUGAUGUUAAACAGACCGCUACAUCGAUUAGGGAAGAUGUCAAACCACCUGAAGGCUUAUUAGACCAAAGUAAUCAAAUGGAUCAGCCACCAUCUUCAGCAUCAAGUGUAGCCUCCGUAUCUCUAAAGCCUCUUGAGUGGGAUAGUGGAGCAGAUGUAGGUUACUAUCAAAUUUACUCAUCAAACAACUCAGAUGAGAAGAAGUUGAGCACUAUUGAACGUAUAGCUAUAGCUACUGGAUCAGCUGCUCUCCUAACAAGAUUGGAACCAGAAGGAACCACUGAAUAUAGAACUCAACAAGCUAAUACAAUGCCAUCCAAUAAAUCUUUGAAAAAAGAUAAUAUUAAGGAGCGGUUGGGUAUUCCUAUGGCAGAAUCUACACCAUUCAGUACAAAACAAUCAAUAAAUGACACUCCAUCAGGUCAUGUUGAUUCAGGAAGUCAAAAUGAAUUGUCUCCUAUAAUACCGGCAACAUCUGAUCAUAUUCGAGUACAAUCUACGGUUAACGUGGACAAUGAUGGAGGGACAAGUGAGCUUGUCCCAAAAUUAACAGAUAAUGUAAAGGAAUUGCCAUACUGUCCUCUCUUUCCUGAAAUUAAAACUUCGACUGAAAAUGUGCAAUCAUCUCAGAAAAAUAAAGCUAAUAGCUCAUAUUUUAAACCUCAGAAAAAAGAGGCAAUUGAAAAUGUUGAGAACUUCAUUGAUGAUUCACAGAAAAAUACAGAAUGCAUCAAUUUAGAUGGUAUGAAAGAAAAUUUGAGAAAGCAUUUUAGUAGUUCAAUGGAGAAUCUGCGAGAUAAUGAGUCUCCCAAGUCACCACCAAUAAACACUCAAUUCAAUACAUUGCCUCGAAGUCAAAGUCAUAGUGAUGUCUGUGUAGCAAUGCCUGAGUCAAACACAUUGCCCAAAUAUCUGUUGCAAUGUAAUAAUCCCACAAAAUCUGCUUCAUCAUCCUCUAUCGCCACCGUUGUACAGAAGAAAAAAGAUUCGCCGAAACAUAUUUCAAAGCUUGUACAAACGUCUUUUGUUAACCAAUCUAUAGGUGUUCAAGUUACCGAUUUAGGUCAGUUUUCGAACUCUCAGAAAUCUGGAUCAAGAGAAAGAAGCCAAUCGUUGAAGGCAACAUCCUCAGUCACUGGCUUUUCAAUUCAAAAUUUCCAGUAUUCAAAGCCUAGUUGAGUCUCGCAUGUACAUGAACAUGACGGCAACAUAUGCAAUGGAGCACAUAGAAAAGUAUUUGAUAGAGGAGAGACCAGCAAACGUCUUACAUCACAGCCAUUUUCCAAGAAUGACAGCAAUGUAGGAUCGACAAGCUCUUCUAAUCAACAGAGAGCAAGCAGGAAUGAACGGAAAGAGUCUAGAGUGGACAAUAACGACGAAAGUGGUACAUUGGACAGUGUGACAAGCAGUGUGAAAACUGAGCCUCCAGCGUGGGCCGACCGGAAUGAGUCGAUGGGCGUCGAAGACAGAGCGAACAGCUUCGAGUACCUGCCAGGCCACAUGUACAGGCCUGACGACGCGUCGGGGCGCGAGAGCUCAUCGAUCUCACUCAACCGAAACGCCUCGUCGCACAACGAACUGACCGAUGAAGCUGACAAAUCAUGGGAUGUCUCAAACUCAAGCACGUUUGCCAGAGACAUUGAACGUGGUGUUGACAUGAUGCUGAAUUUCGUGCAAAGCUCGCAAGUAAAAAGUUCCGAACUGAAGAAAAAGUUGAUGAAGCGCGUUGCCGAAAAACUGAUUUCCACCGAUAUUUCAUCUGGCUGCCACAAAAUGGACAGUAAAAACCCUUCUUCUAUUGGAUCGAAUUCGUUAUCUGAGGAGAGACUUGGUGAACAUAGAAAUGGAAGGGAAACAAGAAGGGGUGACGUCAAAGACAUUCAUUGCCAAGAGUCACCUUUCACCUCUGAAAGAACUUCAAGUCGGACAUCAUCCGAAUGCUUCAAGCCGAAAUCAUCAUUCUCCUCAGCUAAAAAACAUGCUAUCAAAGAUGUACUUGACAAAUGUGUUGGUACAGAGCGCAGUACUCAAUCAUCAUCUGACAGUAACGGACCCAGACGUAUUUUUGGGUCAGUUGGCGUACAGUGCGAGUCAAUAAGCAGCAAUGAGGUAUCCAAGUUGUACUUGGAGAAGUCCUCUGCUAAAUACCAUGACAACAAGGAAUGCAGUGAUUUUCAAAAGCAACCGACCAAUUCAGGGAAGAAGAGUGAUCGUCGUCUCAGGACUCCUGAAUCAUCAAUUACAAUUGAUUCGAAUAGGAGCAGCCCUGUUGACAAUUCUUCUGAUUGGAAGCCGUCAAUGCCGAUUCCCACCAGAGUUUUUGAACAGAAAAGAAAAUUUCAAGCGGGCAAUACCAGAACAGAUGAUAAUGUUAACACAAAAGCAAUGAUUGAUCUACUCAGCUUUGAAAGAGAUAACCAACGCCUUAUGAUUCAAUCUGAAAUAGAGCACUUGGAUUAUUUGAGAAGACUCCUACAGAAGCAGGAAGAAUUGAGAGACUCAUUAGCUAAAAUCCAAAAAACCAGACAGAAGCAUCUAGACUCCCGUUAUAAUAAGUGCAAAACUGCCAAUGAAAGUAAUAAGCAGGUGCUUAAUUCUAUAAAAAGUCGACUGAAACAAUAUUCCGAAUCAAAUCAUAGAAGAAAUUCAAAUACUGAGGAGGAACAUCAAGAAUGGGAUUCUCAUAAUUAUUGUUCGUCUGUUGAUGAGAUGAACAAACCAAUAUCGAACAAGGUUCAUAGAAACAACUCAAUAUCUGUUAGCCAAGAGCAGAGAAAUAACGAUGGUACUAUCAAAACGAAGAAAUCACAAGAUAGUAGAAGAGUGGAUGAUUGCCAACGUUCAAAGAAUGACGAUAAUUUUGUUGAUACUAGAUCGAAUGGUGAAUCUAGUGAAAUACUAGCUUCGAAACCAGUAACCAGUGACAAUCAGCAGUCAACAAAGUCUCAGUCGCGAAGGUCUUCAAAGUCUUCAGCUUUAGAACCAGAUUGUCCAGUUUGCCACUCUAAAAAAAUCCAAUCAUGCAAGUGCUCCAGGAAUAAUCCAAGCUUGGAGAAGAAUAAAAAGCCUUUGGCUUACUUUAUAACGUUCGAAGAUGGAUCUUCAGAAAAUAAUUCUUCUGUUGGUGCUGAAAACUCCUUGGAAGAGAUCAAAUUAAAAUCAAAUAGAAGCAAUGAUAGAGUAUCGAAUGUUACCAACGUAAAAAAGAAAGAAACUUCAGCAGUUGAGAAAGAAAAUCGAGAACCAAAACAACCAAAGAAAAAUCAUGAAUGGAGACCAACUUUGCAGGAGUACCUGGUGAUGAAUCGCGGUGAAUAUGUGAACAGAGCCGAAUACAGAAGGAAAUGUGUAGCAGAAUUGACAUAUUUGAGAGAACUGCGCAAUAAAACUAAACGACAUCUAAUUGUGAUGGCACCAGAAAGCUCUGACUACAGUCAGUCUACAACACCGAGGGAACUUCCACCUCCUCCAUUGGCAAUGAAACGAGUCUUCAGUCAAAGGACAAUGAGACGACAAACGGAACGCAAGUAUCGCCAGCUGGCUGAAGUGAAAAAUAGAAACAUUGACUUGAAACGAAAAGAAGCGUAUCGUACUAAUAGGUUGAUGGCUGAAGUUUUCACCAAGAAGCUGCAGAAACGGGUCUUGAAUGGAGAAACGAAUCUAUCAAAUAGUGUUAGCGUGAUAUCCAGCCUUUAAAAUUAGGUACAGAAGUGCUAAGAAGCACUGCUUCUAAAUCCAAAGCUAUAUAGACGUCUAAGAUAUAAUAAUUGAUUUAUAAUCUUUGAUAUGCAUAUAAUUAUGAUGAAUUAUAUGCGUCAAGUACAAUACUCUAAUAACCUUCUUCUGAGUAAUGACGUACUUCAAGUUGAGGCCGUAGAUUUCUUUGGGAUACUUCGAAUUCAUCACAUAAAAAAGCCGAUUAAGGAAUGGUGUCCAUUGCAAUAUCUUCUCCAUUGAGUUCAUACAAAGAAACAAACAAGGUUGAAUACAGGCUAUAAUGGUGAGUGCAAAAUAAUACUUUUUUAUUAAAAAAAUUCUUCACAGUAUCAAUUUCCUGAAAUGCUUUAAUUUUUAUCUAUGGCCGUACAGUAAACUUUACAUAAAUCAUACAAAUUAAUUGUUUUUAGA